rnacentral:tRNA from 1 species
CCUCGUGGCGCAAUGGUAGCGCGUCUGACUCCAGAUCAAAAGGUUGCGUGUUCAAGUCACGUCGGGG